rnacentral:rRNA from 1 species
GUGACCUCAAAUCAGGUAGGACUACCCGCUGAACUUAAGCAUAUCAAUAAGCGGAGGAAAAGAAACUAACAAGGAUUCCCCUAGUAACUGCGAGUGAAGCGGGAAAAGCUCAAAUUUAAAAUCUGGCAGUCUUUGGCUGUCCGAGUUGUAAUCUAGAGAAGUGCUAUCCGCGCUGGACCGUGUACAAGUCUCCUGGAAUGGAGCGUCAUAGAGGGUGAGAAUCCCGUCUUUGACACGGACUUGCCAGGGCUUUGUGAUGUGCUCUCGAAGAGUCGGGUUGUUUGGGAAUGCAGCUCAAAAUGGGUGGUAAAUUCCAUCUAAAGCUAAAUAUUGGCGAGAGACCGAUAGCGAACAAGUACCGUGAGGGAAAGAUGAAAAGAACUUUGGAAAGAGAGUUAAACAGUACGUGAAAUUGCUGAAAGGGAAACGCUUGAAGUCAGUCGCGUUGUCCAGGGAUCAACCUUGCUUUUGCUUGGUGCACUUUCUGGUUGACGGGUCAGCAUCAAUUUUGACUAUUGGAAAAAGAUUAGGGGAAUGUGACAUCUUUGGAUGUGUUAUAGCCCUUGGUUGCAUACAAUGGUUGGGAUUGAGGAACUCAGCACGCCGCAAGGCCGGGUUUUCAAACCACGUACGUGCUUAGGAUGCUGGCAUAAUGGCUUUAAUCGACCCGUC